rnacentral:rRNA from 1 species
UACAGAGGUCUCAAGCGUUGUUCGGAUUCAUUGGGCGUAAAGGGUGCGUAGGUGGCGAGGCAAGUCAGAUGUGAAAUCCCGGGGCUCAACCCCGGAACUGCAUUUGAAACUGCCUUGCUCGAGUACUGGAGAGGAGACUGGAAUUUACGGUGUAGCAGUGAAAUGCGUAGAUAUCGUAAGGAAGACCAGUGGCGAAGGCGAGUCUCUGGACUGUAACUGACGCUGAGGCGCGAAAGCGUGGGGAGCAAACAGG